AUGGAUGAAUAUUAUAAUAAUAUUGAAGUGUAUUAAAAUGAAAUUUUAAAUUCAUUUUGGUAGUUGUGUAAUUUGAAUAUAUUGAAGUAUAUAAGUUAUUAUAUAUUGAAUAAUCAAAUGAGCAGAUCUUGGUGGUAGUAACAUAAUAAUUUGUAUUUAUAGAGAUUAGGGUUGUCAUUAUGAUGACGUGAGACGGUGUUAUAAUAAAACGAAUAAUAUUAAUAUUUUAUUAUCUUAUUUAUUAAGUGGUGACACAAACACGGACUAUUAUUUACUUAAAUUAUAAUAUAAAUGAGUUAUAAUUUUUAUGAUGUGAUAGUUGUUAUAAGAUCAUCAUUUUAAUAAUAAUAUGUUAAAAAAGAAAUAAAUAAACCGUACCUAUACCGCAUCAGGUGUCCCUGUUUUAUAACAAAUAUAUUUUAAAAUAAUCUAAGUAAGGGAAUUCGGCAAAAUAGAUCUGUAACUUUGGGAUAAAGAUUGGCUCUAGCAUGCUAGAACUUUUUAUAUUAUGAGAGGAAUCUGACUGUUUAAUAAAAACAUAGCUUUAUGAUAAUGUAAAGUGAAUUCUGCCCAGUGUAUUUAUUAGUUAAAAUAAAAUAAGCAUAUAUAAACGGCGGGAGUAACUAUGACUCUCUUAAGGUAGCCAAAUGCCUCGUCAUUUAAUUGGUGACGCGCAUGAAUGGAGCAACGGGAUUCCUACUGUCCCUAUUUAGAGCUAUGUGAAGCAACGAGACAAGGGAACGGGCUUGUUAUUUAAUCAGCGGGGAAAGAAGACCCUGUUGAGCUUUACUCUAGUAUAUUUUAAUUUAUAUAUAUUAUAUUGUAGAGAGGUGGGAGAUGUAAUGUGAAACCACUAAUAUUAAUAUUAUAUAAAUUUAUUUUUAAUUAUAUGGGGAGUUUGGCUGGGGCGGUACAACUGUUAUAAAGAAACACAGUUGUCCUAAGAUACAAUUAAUUAGGAUAGAAACCUAAUGUUUAGUAUAAGGGUAUAAGUGUGUCUGAUGUAUAAAACAAUAGUUUUAUAUGAUGGGAAACCAUGGCCUAAAGAUCCUCCAAUAAUAAUUUUAUUUGAUUGGAGGUGACAGAAAAGUUACCACAGGGAUAACUGGCUUGUAGCAAAUGAGCGAUCAUAGCGACUUUGCUUUUUGAUUCUUCGAUGUCGUCUCUUCUGAUCAUCGUAGUGUAUAUGUUACGAAGUGUUGGAUUGUUCACCCGUUAAUGAGGAACGUGAGAUGGGUUUAGACCGUCGUGAGACAGGUUAGUUUUACCCUACUGUUAAUAUUAUUAAGAAAAGUUAUAUAGUACGAGAGGAACAAUAAGUGAUGACCACUGGUGUAGCGAUUAAUUAUUCAAUUAUGUUGCAAAACUACGUCAUGAAUAAUAAAUGCUGUAAGCCUCUUAAGCAUGAAGUUAAUCUUAAUGAUAAACAAUUGAGGAAAACUACCUCUUUGAAGAGUGGGACUGUAAGAAUGAAGGUGUAUACCGACAUUUUGAGGUUACCAUUUCGUUCUAUGUAAAAAUUA
rnacentral:rRNA from 1 species